CCUGACGACCCGGGGCCUAAGUGGAGUUUGGGACCCUAAGGAAAGAGGGUAUGGACGUCGGGGUUUCGAGGGGCCGUUUAGGUGGGUGGGAAAACGAACCGUGUGUGGUGGUUUCUGAGGAAAGCGGCGGGAGUGGCUGCCUGGCCCUACUCCGGAGAACUACCCGCGACCUGCCGCCUCAUCCCGUGGCGGGCGCUUGACGAGCGGCGUCGUGGUUGGCGUGUGGUGGGCAGAGGCCAGCAGCGCUGCCUGAGGGGAGGGCGGGCCAGCGAAUUCCCGCCGCAAGUGUCCGCUGCGAGGCGCCCCUCGGGUCUACGGGGAGCCGGAGCUGCGAACCCCGCCUCUGGCGUGUUCCGUACAGCGAGUUGGCUCUCCUGUGAAAAAAUUCUUCUUUUUUUCUUUAUUAUUGGGGGGCAAAUUGAUAAAUGUAAACCGGCAUCACUUUCUAGGUUUCACCUUGCUGUUGGUGAAGGACUUUCACUGCGCGGGGCAGUACACACGCCAAGGAGGGACAUAUUCAGAUAUUUAUUUUACAGGGCACGCCCUUUUGAGAAGUCUAGGUGUCUGGAUCCCCGCAGAUUCAAAGACCUACUGCAGAACCAGGAGUAAACAGUUAUGAAGGCGCCCACCCUUGCCCCUAGUCUCAGUCAUGCAACGACGUUCAGCAGCUGCCUAAGUGUCUCUUAGGGCUCUACCAGGAGGCGGCUGUGGCCUGAAAACGUCUCUUACCCUCUGUCUUGCUCCAUCCACAUUUUUCUGUGAGAAUGUUAUAUUUAAAAAGUUGUUACUGAAUAUACAUGUGUAUUUUCAUUUUAUAUUCAUGUGUAUAUUUCAUAUACACACGAAUAUGCACAUGUCUAUAUUCAUGUGUAUAUUCACUUAUUUUUAUUUUCUUUACAUAGUAUCCAAGAUGAAUGACAGCCUCUUUGUCAGUCUGGACAGACUUUUGUUAGAAUUUGGUAGGUAUAAAGUGAAAAUAAAGAAAUAGGUAACUGUAUUAUUAUUCGACAUUUUAACAAUGAAGUAAAGUCACAAGAGAAUUGUUUUAGUUUUCCAGUAUGAGCAAGAUAUAAGUACUAAAGAAGACAUGAUUCAAAGAAUUAAUAGUAAGUAGUUUUGCAUGUUAAAGAUGUUUUUGUCUUAAUUUUUUUAUGACAUAUAGCAUAAUAUAUAAUUGCCCUGUUUAGGGCAACUUGUAGUUGGCAUUGUAACUCUUGUGGAAAUUCUCUACUAAUAAUGAGCUUUUUAGCCUAGGCAAAAUAGUUGUGAUUCACCUACUGUUUUUCAGUAAUUUUGUGUAUUCUGCAUUUAAUAAUUUUGUGAAGAAUUUUGCUUUAAGCAGCAAUGACCCCUAAGGUGCAGUUUAAAAAAUGUUAUAUUUCUCAAAUAACAAGGUUACUUCAAAUAUUUGAGUGAAAUGUUUCUCUUUAAAGAAAUCAUCAAAAAUUAGGAACCAGGAUUGAUGCCAUAUUUUCAGGAAUAAUAGUUCUGAAAUAAGUGAAUUGGCUAGUAAAUAUAAGUGAAGUGGCUGGGCAAAUUAAAUAAAUAUAAUGUUUUAAAUAUUUUAGUUCUAAAAAUAUAACUAUCAGCUUCUUAAUUGUCACAGAAAGAUUGAAUUUGGUUAUUUUUUCUACAAUCAAAAAAUAAAGUAUUAUGAAAUUGUUUAAUAUUUUCAAGAACUAAGUUUAUCUUAAAUCAUUGGUAAAUAAGUUAGUUGAUGGUGUAUUUAAUAAUUAAUUGAUAGAAAUUAUGUAUUUGUCAAUAACAAUCCUUAUGUUAAUAUAAUUAAUGAGUAAACAUUUGCAUGAAUUUGUAGCAUCAUAAGAUGAAUUGACCUUAAGUGUCACCUAAUCUAGCCCAGGGGACAUUCUUCAAUUGCAAAUACAAAUCCUCCUUAGUUUCUGGGGGGCUGUGGUUUUCUACUUUUUAGUACAGGAGCCUUCCCUUCUCAAGCCUCACUUCCUCUCCUUUCUGGCUGUCUUCUUUUUAGGUAAGUUGCCAUAAACUGUUUUUUCUUACUGUAUUUGUUUAUUUUGAAUUUAUAAUUUCUACCUUAAGAAAAUAAACAUUUCCUCUUUUAGAAUGCUUUGAAGACAUAAAAGAAAACAAAUCAACUAUUUGUAAGAUACAUGAAAGUAUAAAUACAACAGAUGAGGAAAUUGCUCAUUACUGUAAACAUAGUAAUGAAAUCAAAGACAACUGUAGUAAGUGAGUAUUUGAAAGAAAUGAACCUUCAGUAAUUGUCAUUUGACUUUUUUUAUUCAAGAUUUCUAGGUUUAUAGUUGAAGACACCAUUGCUUAUUUUGUUUUGUUUUGGUUUGGUUUUUUGGUAUUGGGGGUUGAACUCAGGGUCUUCCUUGUACAUGCUAAGCAUGUUCUCUACCAUUGCCCUAAGUGCUGAAUUAAGAGAUUUCACUAAUUUAGAUAUAGUUAGUAUAAAUAAAGAAUUUUAGUGUAGUCUAUGUAAGUCCUGUUAGACUGAAAUAAUUUCCAUUUUUUUGACUUUUCAAGAUCUUAGUGUUUUUCUUUAUGAGGUGCUGGGAAUCAAAUCCAGGGCCUUAUUCAUGAUAGGCAAGUGCUACCUUGAUACAUGAUAGACAAGUACCACUGAGCUACACUCUGGCUUAAGAUCUUAGUUUGUAUAAGGGAAUCCAACCUAAAACUUUUCAAGAUAAAAGACUUCUUUUGAGAAAUGUCUCUCCAGGUCUUUUGUCCAAUUUCUAAUCAAGUUAUUUCUUUUCUUGCCAUUGAAUUGUGUGACUUCUACUUCAACCAUUUUUAUGAUAGGAAAACAUUGGAAGUAACUCUAAAUGUUCAACAUAAGGGGACUGGUUAAAUGAAUUUUGGUAUAUCCAUAUGACUGAACACUAGGCAGCCACUAAAAUCAUGACAUAGGUGUAUGUUUGACAUGGGAAAAUGUUAAUAGUAUAUUGCAAAUUGAAUAAAGCAGUUUAUGCAUCAUUAUUCAUAAUAUGAACCCAAUGCAUGAUAAUAUAUCUAUAUCUAAGAAAAACCUCAAAGGAUGCACAUUGAAAAGCUUAUAGUGAAUAUCUUCUCAGUAAGCAUAUGUUUCUUAUGGAAUUUUCAAAUACUCAGAAUAUAUGCAUGUAUAAUCUUAGACCUUCAAAUUUCCUUUUGGGGAAUAUAUUUUAAGUAUCAGAAAUUAAGGGGUUGGGGAUAUAGCUCAGUUGGUAGAGUGCUCGCCUGGAAUGCACAAGGCCCCUGGGUUCAAUCCCCAGCACCAUAAAAAAAAAAAAAAAUGAAAGAAAGAAAAGAAAUUAAGACAAAUUUUUAAGUAUAAUUUCAGUAAGUGAUAAAGAAGGAUUAAUUUUAUGUGAAUAUGAUCUCAGUAAUGUUAAAAUAUAUAAUUGUAGCAAAAUCUCAAAACAAUUUUAAAAUCAUAGUAGUUAUUUAAUAUUGAGAAUAUGUAUGAUAGUUAGUUUCUUAUAUAUACUCUUCUGUGCUUCCAAAUGGCCAUAUGUACUUUUUGAAUAUGGAAAAAAAAAUGAAAAUAGAGGAAAUAUUCAAACAAUACUUAGAAUGGAAGCUGCCAUGGUAUAUAUAGUAAUUUUAGUUUUUUUAUAUUGGUAAUAGUUUUCAAGUUAUAUAAUAAAACAAAAAUAUAUAAGGUGAAUAUUCAUUUUAUUCUAUCUGAUUUGAUAGUCUAUUUUGGCCUAGUUUCUUUCUUUGUAACUUAGGAGGGCAUAACAGUGUGUCAGAGGAAGAAAAAAGACUCUUUAACCCUAAUCCAAGUGCUAACUAAAAAGAAUUUCUUGGCCAAGACCUUAGAAAUAUGAUGAGAAAGAAGGGCUGAUGAAGUGUUAUAGGGUGUGUAAUGGAAUAUCAUAGCAAUACAUAAUUCAGCCAUGCUAUAUUUGCUUCUUUCCCUGUCAUAUCUCAAAAACAAAUUUUAUGUAAAAAUUAAUGAAUAUUAAUAUUUGAGCAUAUGAGUGUGUGGAUAUUGAUAGUGAUGGGGAUAGGAUAUGCAAUUUUUUCUUUUUUUAUACUGUUGUAUUUAUUAUUUUAAAAAUUGGUUCAUAUUAAUUAUACAGAGUAGUAGAUUUCAUUGUGGCAUAGGGAAUGUUUUCUUGAUGUAAACUUGUUUUCUCUAGGUAGACGCAUUCAUUUCUCUUUAAAUGAUUUUGUUCAUUUUUUAUUAUCUCUGCCAAUUUUUUUAUUUGUUUAUCAUUCUGAAAUGCUAAUUACAACUAUAACUUUUUUCCAUAGCUGGAAGCCAACAUGUGAUGUUUUUCAUAAACAUGAAGAUUAUAUGCAGGACCAAUUUACUAUUUAUCAAGAAACCAUUGAAAAAGACAAGUACAGUAUUUAUAUUAACUUAAGUGUAUCAGUUCUAUAAAUUAGUAUUACUGGAACAUGCUAUGUAAAAAUGUUAACUGAAAAAUUUAGAAAGUGUGUAUUCUGAGGGAAUAUUUUUUUAAGUAAAUGUGAUAUCUUGGACUGAAUCAUUGAUGGUCUCCAUAUUUGUUGUAAAAGCUUGAAUAUGUUGAGAUAUUGCCUUAGAUACAAACCAUUUAUCUAUCAGCAGCAUUUAUAGCAAAGUUCUUCAAUUAAUGGUAUUUAUGACUAAACAGUGUAGGCAAACAUUUAGGAGGAUAAUUAUUUGUAGAAUAAACAUUUUGAAAAAUUUGAGGUAUUGGUUUUUUAAAGGUAUUUUGUGUCAAAUUUCAGUUUUUCAGAUUGCUAAUUUAGUAAAGUGGUUAUAUUCUAAUGGAGAAAUACCAGUAGUUAUGUGAAUUUAUUUUACUACAUGUAAAAUCACAUCAUCUUAGGGAUUAAAUGUAAUUAAUGAAUGUAAUAAAACAAGGUUAGAGACUUUGAACAUGAUAUAUAUAGCAUUAAAAUUUUACCUAAUUUUAAAAACUGAAGUGAUUUGAGAACACUUAUCAGUUUUUACAUUUUACUUAAGAAACACAUAUGUUGAAGGCCUUGUGGUGCAUACCUAUAAUCCUAACAAGUUGAAGGUUGAGAUAGGAGGAUCACAAGUUCAAGGGCAACUGUAGCAACUUAGUGAGACCCUAAGCAACUUAGCAAGAUACUGUCUCAAAAAUAAAAAAUAAUAAAUAAAUAAAUAAUGCCGGGGAUAAAGCACAGUGGUAAAACACCCUUGAUUUCAGUCCCUAAUAUCAAACAAAAAACCCUCCUAAAAUAACUACCAAUGUAAAAUCUAUAAUCCAUUAUUUUCAAAGUUGAGUCUUAGGUUAGAAUUAAAGUUAAAGAUUGGGACUUAAUGGCAUUAGAAAUCUUGUAUAUAGAUGAGGUUUCUCAGGAAAAUAUAUGGAGCAAAGUGGAGAAAGCCAAAAGUAUGCUAUCAUCCAAAGAGUAGACAGAGGGUGGAAAAGAUGAAGGAGACUAUUAGGUUGUCAUUUAUAGAUCCUGCUUCAAUCCCAAAAGAAUUUGAGAUAUUUGUAUAAAAAUACCACAGUGUUUAAAGAAAAUCAAGGCUACAUGUGGUCCCAAAUAUUGUUUGUUAAAAGUACAGAUUAGGCUUUGAAAUUCUUAGUAGUCAAGGCAUUGAUCAAGAAAUAUGAUCAGAGUAUUCAUUUAAAAAAAAUUCAAUUAGAGGCUGGGGGUGUGACUCAAUGGUAGAACAUUUUCCUAGAAUGCUCAAGGCCCUGGUUUUAAUCCUUAGCAGUUUACUUGCUUAGGAUAAGUUAUGAAGUUUUUCCCGAGACUUGAGAGAAAUUUCUCUCCUGGGUCUUCAUAAAGGGGAAACUGGGGAGUGUGGUAAUAUUUUCAGUAAAUUCUUUCAAAAAAGUCCCCAUUUUAAUGUUUUUAUUAAUGCAUUAAGUUAUACAUAAUAGUGGUAUUUAUUUUGACAUAUUCAUAAAAGUAUAUAAUUUCCUUCAUUUCAACAAUCAGUACUGAGGAAGUAGGAAGGAAGUAGGGACACUAGCUACUUAUUUCUGAUCUCCCAUUCUUGUCCUGAGCAUUCCUGAAGACGAGUACUGCUCGAAUAAAUUAGAUAAUAAUGACUUUCUGAAUCAUGACUUAGCUAUGCUGUGUUCUGCCAAAGUUUCUAUAUGGAAGAUGUUAGAAGUGGAUAUGACUAUAUAAUAUGAACAGGAUGGAAUAUGAUAUACUAAUCUCAUAUGAAACAGAUGACCAAGGCCUAAUUUUUCAAUGGUAUUUCUCUUCUCCCUGGACCAUUUUCUCAAGUUAUUAUAUGUGGGGUCUUAAUUAAUAAAUAUACAUUUAGAAGAAUAGGAACUUAUUUGGGGCUCAACUGCUUUAUCUUGCUAAAGGGGACAGAGUUUAGCAAUACUAAAAAAUUAGACCAUUCUUAAAAUUCAGACUUGUUGACCCAGUACUUAUUAAUCAUUACUUAUUAAACCAGAAGUUUUAAAAAUACUUGCUCCUAUUCUCUGCUAAGGAGAACAAUCAUUAUAGCAUCUUUUAAGAAAUUUCUUGAUCCAAGAAAUAAAAUCUUGAGGAAUAUAAGGACUAUAUAUUUUCAAAAAGUUUACUAUGAAUAUUAUUUUUGAAACCAGAAUUUGGUAAAAAGAGGAUUCAGGAAUAUAUUUUCUGUAGGACUGGGGCUGUAUAGCUCAAUGAGUGAGGCUCUCGGUGCAGUCCCUAACACUGAGGCUGAGGGUAUAUUUUCUGUGAAGAACUGUAUUGAGUACUUUCAGUGUUAUAGAUCAGGAUUGGCAAACAUUUUUUGUAAAAUACCAGAUAGUAAGUAUUGUAGCUCAACUCUUCUGUGUGGUACAAGAUGGCUUUAGGCCAUAUAUAAAUAAAUGAGAUAUGAUCCAAUAAAACCUUAUUGGACAGUGAAAUUUGAACUUCAUAUAAUUUUAUUAUGUCAUAGAGUAUUCUUUUGAGUUUUUUUCAAUAAUUUAAAAACCAUUCUUAGUUCACAGACAACAGAGGAUGGAUUAGAUUUGGCACAUAGGCAGCCUGGGGAUGUAGCUCAGUGGUAGAGCACUUGCUUAACAUGCAAGGCUCUAGAUUCAAUCCUCAGUAUCUUCUCCCCCACCCCAUCACAAAGUUUUGGCACAUAGGCAGUAGUAAUCAACUCCUUUGUCUGUAUGGGUCAAAUAAGAAAGAAGUCUUAAUAUUCUUUUGUAAGAAUAAUGCCUCACUUACGACUUGUGCCUAAAUAGAUGGUCACCCAUUAUUAGUUGAGUUGAUAUAGAAAUGAGUUCCUCCAAACAGCUCAAAUUCUUCAUAAGAAUACUUGUGGGGUAUACAUGAAUGAUUAUGAACCCAGAGUUUUAACACAUAGAACGUGACUUCAUGUAAUAGUUUUAGCUGAAGAAAAUUAAAGGAGAUUUAAAAGGCAUAGUUACAGAGGUCAGAACCCAGGGAGCGUAGAUAUUUAAGAAGGUAUAACUGAUAUUGGCCAAAUUAUAUUGUUAUAUCCUGUGCAUGAAUGAAUAUGUAACAACAAAUCCCAUCAUUAUGUACAACUGUAAUGCACCAAUAAAAAAUGUGGAAAAAAAAAGGUGUGACUAAAAGAACCCAGUUCUCCAAUGUCAGUUAGGAUGAACAUGAAAAAGAGAUCAUUUGAUUAGACAAUUUAGAUCAUUGAUGACCAUGGAAAGAAUAAUGUCAUUAUACUGGUGGAAGUGGAAGUUAAAUUGAAGAGGAUUAACCAGGUGAGGAAUAAAAAAAGUGUAGCUGAGAAGUGUCUUGGGGUUAAAGAAAGUUGAAGGACAGACAGUAAUGAGGGAAAUACAGACAAAUAGAUGUUUGAAUUGCUUUUUAUACUUAAUUUAGGAGACUUUAACAAGUGAUAUUUAUUAGGUUUUUAGAUCUAUUCUACAUCAUUUCUUUUAUUUUUAACAGAAAAAUGUAUCAUGAUUAUGUAUGUCAGUAUAAAGAAGUUUUGAAGCAAUACCAACUAAAAUAUUCAGAAACACCCUUUUCACGUGAAUAUUAUGAGAAGAAAAGAGAACAUGAAGAAAUUCAAAACAGAGUGUUGGCAUGUUCUGAACAACUAAAAAUGAAUGAAACUAUUCUUAUGGAAUUUCUAGGUAUUAACCUUUCUGUAAUAUGUUGCUUUAAUUAUUAUAUCUUUGUACUGAGAAGAAUAUAAUAAAUCAGUCUCAACUAUGACUUUUUUUCAGUGCCUGCACCCUUUCCAUCACUUACCAAGUGGAC
rnacentral:lncRNA from 1 species